GAGCAAUCCAAGAGCGGCAGGCCGUUGAGCCGAUCCUAGCCGUUCGCUCAUUCCUAGCUUGCCCUCUCCUUGCAGGGUUUUCCAAGCCACUUCAAUGUUGAAACUGAAAAUUUCAAUCACGUUAAAUGUAUGCUGAAGGCUGCACGGGAGAAUUCAAGUAUGAAAAGCCAGUUCAAUACAAAAAGUUUUGUUUUCAAAAUCGUAUAACUAUUUUUCAAUAUCGGUAUAACCCAAGUAGAAAAAUCGAGCAGUUUUUUUCAUUUUUCUAAUGACACACAACCGAUUUCAGCUUAACGGGGGGUCCAGAUUGCACGCACACAAGCGCAAAUGAACACGAUGACACGCACACAUUGAGACUCGCUGUCAGUUCGUUCUGAUGGCUUGAAAACAGGCAAAAAGUUGGGUUAUGUGUGGAUUGUAAACAUUCUGUUCGUUCAAUUCACACAAGCUUGUGCCUCAACAUCAUCAUCUCUGCCGCGCCACCGCCUACUUGCAGUAUAUCUGUUACUUUCUUCGCUUGUUGUACUGUGAAUGAGAGAAGGAGACAUAUUAUUCAGGAAAAUGGAUUUCAACAAUAAUGUUGAGGAAAAACUAGGCGACACCAUCCCAGUCAAACCGUCGAGAAAAAAACUUGAAGCAGCAAUUUCAACCGGAUCAGCUCUACUGAAAAAUGAAAAGUGCCCUACUUAUCCAUUCCAGAAUCAUCAAAAUUCCCUACCUCCUGCCGUGCCACCACGAUCCUCCUCAUUGCCCCGACCAAAUCCUCAAUUAAUCUUAAAAACGAACAUGGCCUCACCAAUUCCUUUUCCCAUCGCACCCCCUCGAACCACAUCCUUGUCCACGCAAAGCUUUAUGGUGCAAUCCAUUUCCUUUCGAGCCAUAAGCACUCCCGCUUCCGAUCCGAAUAAUACUUUCAAAUUAAACUCGCCCACCAUACCACCACGAUCCUCUUCCUAAAUGAUGCCAAAUUCUAGUCCAGUUCAGAAUAUCACGUUUCUUCCAAAAGUUGCGGUUAACACCGAAAGUGCAUCGCAUCCUCCUACCUUACCACCACGAUCUUGUUCUGUGUCCCUUUCUGAGCCCAACAUAAAACUCAAUCCAACUGAAAAUUUAACACAGUUGGAUCGUAUUGAAAAACAGUUGAAUAUUCUGUCCAAAGUAGCUUGUCACACACAAUUUGUGACGAACUUAGUUUUAGACAAUCUCUGCAACAAAGACGCAAAUUCGGAAAGGAAUCCGCUAAUCAAAAAAAUGGAAACUCUUGACAUGUUAGAAGAAAUGGAGAGAAAAUUGAAACAUGAAAGUUUAUACAUGGCAAAGACGAUUUGCCUUUUGUUAAGUGCAUUAAAAGGGACCGACAAUGUCCAAGAAAGACUAUCGAUAACACUCGAUUUGUUAUUCGAUCACGAUUUUUUUUCCAAGUUUAGUUGGACAGGUGUUGGGUUUUCGGAAGCCAAGAUGCCAUUAGAAAAAUACGUCUGUAUUAUAAGUUUAUUUAAAUUCGUAGGAGGCACUAGCUUUAUAGAUGACACAGCUACGGUUUCACACGAAACAGUGAAGACUUUUCUAGUUGAUAAGCUAAAUCACGGAAAAGCACGAAGUUUAGUGAAAGGGUUGCGACAUACGGUGAAACGUAAAAAAGAAUUAUAGAAAAGAAUUAUGUAUAUAUGUAUAAGUUAAGUAUAUAUAUAAGUGUUUUAUUGAAUUAAUGAUUUAGGCAUUUAUACAGUUGAAAUAUGAGCUGUGAUUAAAGUUGUGAUAUGAACUAUGUAGGAGUAAACGUUUAUGAAUUUAAUGGGUAAAAAUUAUAUAUGAAAUACCAACAAUCUGUUCUAGUUCUUAAGGCAUUUCCUCCUUGCAUUUUGCCUUAUCCCGGGCAUACUCGGCAACUUUAUUCUACUCAUUUUAAUACAAAACUAAUAAAAAAAUAAAUUAAUAAAAA